UGUGUUUAGUGUUUUGACUUUGUCGUGAAAGUUUAUUAUAACGCUUUGGCCCAUAGAAAGACCAUGAUAAACGUUUUUAGUUAAAUUCUUGAUUAUUCAUUGAAAGCCUGAAUUCAUUUAUCAAUUAUUCCUAUUUCUGUAUACAGUCAAACGUUAAUGGAUGCCCUCAUGAUGGAUGUUAAAAUGCCCUCAGCAUAUAUCAAACAAGACUGGCAGGAAACAUUUUAGGAGAACAAUGACCCGGCCAUAAAGCCUUUGGGGAAAAUGGAGGCCAUGUGAAAAACAAGAAACGAACUCAUCCCUCCGUUUGAUUCCAUUUUAGCGGCACGUCCCUCCUCCCAGGUAAGUGUUGCGUGUAACCUUCAGUCUUCUGGGACAGAGCUGCUUUGUGUUAAAGUUCCUCCGGUAUUCCCCUCCGCUGCUUAUGUUUUUUCAUGACGUUUUUUAUCUCUCUCAGACAUAUGUCCCUCGUCACUCUCUGUUCUUAUCAGUCUUCUCUCAGAGUGAGGCCUUGACCACCCCUGGGGAGGAGACGAUCUUUCCACUAAAUUCACUCUCUCCGCUGAAGCCUCUUGUGAUGGGGAGAGCUGUCACUCAUCCUGACUCAGGUGACCCCCUGAAGAACACAAAAGAAGAAGGACGUUGGUAACCAAACAACAUUGGAUGCAUUGACUUCUAUUGUAUGGAAACAAAACCACGUUCAGAGACAUUUUCCAAAAUAUCUUAUUUGUGUGUAUUCCACAGAUGAAACAAAGUCAAAUAGGUUUGGAAUGAGAUGAGGGUGAGUGAAUGAUGCACUUACUUUGCUUUUUGGGUGAACUAUUCCUUUAAAGAAAAAGGUAUACACAAAUUGUGAAGGUGAAAAACUGUAUUAGUCUUGCCGAGGUGAGAAAAGCAAGUGGGAAAUGUCAGAUCUCCCAGCUAAGGUGGAGGCAGGAGGUGGAACCACAUACCAGUUUUCUUCUGUUGAAAUGAUAACUUAAACAGAUUAAUUAGUGAACCAUGUAUAAAUACAUUUGUGGCGUUCUCGGUUCAUUUGCCCCGAAAAUAAUCUGCAGAUUCAUUAAUGGGGGAAAUUACCCAGAGAGCCCCUGAACUAUCCAUUUAAAAUGACGCUUCAUCUACUUUCAAUUACCUCUAAAGCGCGGAGGAAUACUGAACAGAUCCAGCUGUUGUGCCAUUAUGGUUUGAAAUGUUUCAUUUUUCCAUCUCAAAGCUUCAAGGAGAGCCAGUGUACAAGUGUUUCUAUUUAAUGCAUGUUUUAAUCCAUUAUGGGGAGAUAUGAAACACUGAUUCUUGUGUGCUCGAACUGCUCUGUUCAUAAAAUGAAGAAAAGCAUAACAGACACCAAGGUCAUUGGUUUGAUAUGUACGCAACGUAUGUGGAAUGAUCAACCUUGUGUGUUGCUUCAUUGGAUAAAAUGUCUACUGAAUGAAUAGCAUGUUGGUAUUUUGGGGCUAUUUUUUAAAACAUUAAAGGGACAGUUCACCCCAAAAUAAAAAUUCUGUCAGCAUUUACUCACCCUCGAGUUGAGAAAGGUAUGUGGAAGACAAACAGUUCUUGGCCACCAUUGACUAACUGCCAUAGUAGGAAAAAUUACAAUGGUAAAUAAAAGUGCCCCAGAACUGUUUACUUUCCUACAUUCUUCAAAAUAUCUUCUUUUGUGUUCAAUUUAUAAAGCAAAUUUUCCCACUAUGGUAGUCAAUGGUGGCCAAGAACUGUUUGGUUACAAGCAUUCUUCCAAAUAUCUUUCUCUGUGUUCAUCAUAACAAAGAAAUUCGUACAGAUUUGGAACAACUUGAGGUCAUGGACCACAGAGCUUCACUCUAGUUGCCAUGUAUGAUGUCCAUCUGUCUGGGCUACACAGUCCAGCUGUGAUCCAGUCUGAGCGCUGUCACAUACUGGAACAAUAAACACGAGUAUCUGGCAUCCCACAGAACACUUCUGACAUGAUUGAAAGGCAGAGCUAUCCAGCGCUGGGCAUGGAAACCAUUAGAAGAUGGGCAAGAUGCUCCGAACAGACAAGGUGAAUGAGCAGUGUCUAUAAACUAGAACAGCUGCAGGAUUGCUGGCCAUUCACAUUCAAAUAUGUGAAGUAAUUUAUUGGCACAGAUGCAUGUAAUUGAAAUUCGACUACCUGAUGUCUGCUUCUCAAUGUGUACUGACAGAUGUACAGAUGUUUGAAGAAAUGUGAGCUUAUAUUAAUUUGUAGACAAACAUACUGAAUCAAAUUAAAACAUGAAAUACAAAUCUACCUGUUCACUUUUGAUACAUUUUAGUCUUUACAAAUGACAUAUUUUUCAACACAAUCUCACAGAAAUUCGUAACUUCUUUACGAGGAGGCAAAUUUUAAUUCAUACAACCGUAUUCAUACGUUUUGGUACAGUUUGCUCUCUUGCUUGUGAUGUUAAGUUUAGGGGUGGGGUUAGGGGAGGGGCUUCAGU